rnacentral:lncRNA from 1 species
AAGCAAAGAAUAUCCUUUUAUCUUUGGCAAAAACAGCAGAAGAACAACAGUUAGCUAACCAAGUUGUAGGAUACUUGGAUAAUAGUAGCAUUGAAAACCUUCUGUCAAUCUCUGUUAAUGAUAAUGAUGAGGAUGAAGAUAAUGACGAAGACGAUGAAGACGACGAAGAUGACGAUGAAGACGAUGAAGAUGACGAUGAAAGUUAUGAAGAGGAAGUCGAUGGUCCUUCACCAGUCGCUUCAUCAUAUGACGAUAAACAAGAACAAGAACCUGAGCUGGUUUAUUUAAACGGUGAUGCUGAAAAAAACCUCGAGGACUUGCUUACAGUGGCUGAAUUGUA